rnacentral:rRNA from 1 species
AACGAACGCUGGCGGCAGGCCUAACACAUGCAAGUCGAAGGAGAAGCCAUCUUCGGAUGGUGGAAACUGGCGCACGGGUGAGUAACGCGUGGGUAUCUACCUCGGGGUGGGGAAUAACCGCUGGAAACGGCGGCUAAUACCGCAUACGCCUUAUGAGGGAAAGCUCCGGCGCCCUGAGAGGAGCCCGCGUUGGAUUAGCUUGUUGGUGGGGUAAUGGCCUACCAAGGCUUCGAUCUAUAGCUGGUCUGAGAGGAUGAUCAGCCACACUGGGACUGAGACACGGCCCAGACUCCUACGGGAGGCAGCAGUGGGGAAUAUUGGACAAUGGGCGCAAGCCUGAUCCAGCCAUGCCGCGUGAGUGAAGAAGGCCUUAGGGUUGUAAAGCUCUUUCACCUGCGAAGAUGAUGACGGUAGCAGGAGAAGAAGCCCCGGCUAACUCCGUG